AGGACUUCCAGCGGCGGACGGGUGAGUAACGCGUGAACAAUCUGUCCCAGACAGGGGGAUAACAGAUGGAAACAUCUGCUAAUACCGCAUAAGACCACGUGCCCGCAUGGGUGUGGGGUAAAAGGAGCAAUCCGGUUUGGGGUGAGUUCGCGUCUGAUUAGCUAGUUGGUGAGGUAACGGCCCACCAAGGCGACGAUCAGUAGCCGACCUGAGAGGGUGAUCGGCCACACUGGAACUGAGAAACGGUCCAGACUCCUACGGGAGGCAGCAGUGGGGAAUAUUGGGCAAUGGGCGAAAGCCUGACCCAGCAACGCCGCGUGAAGGAAGAAGGUUUUCGGAUUGUAAACUUCUGUCCUCAGGGAAGAAACAAAUGACGGUACCUGAGGAGGAAGCCCCGGCUAACUACGUGCCAGCAGCCGCGGUAAUACGUAGGGGGCGAGCGUUGUCCGGAAUGACUGGGCGUAAAGGGCGCGUAGACGGUUGUCUAAGUCUGGAGUGAAAGUCCUGCUUUCAAGGUGGGAAUUGCUUUGGAGACUGAAUGACUUGAGUGCGGAAGAGGUAAGUGGAAUUCCCAGUGUAGCGGUGAAAUGCGUAGAGAUUGGGAAGAACACCAGUGGCGAAGGCGACUUACUGGGCCGUAACUGACGUUGAUGCGCGAAAGCGUGGGGAGCGAACAGGAUUAGAUACCCUGGUAGUCCACGCGGUAAACGAUGAGUGCUAGGUGUAGCGGGUAUCGACCCCUGCUGUGCCGGAGUUAACACAAUAAGCACUCCGCCUGGGGAGUACGGCCGCAAGGUUGA
rnacentral:rRNA from 1 species